GGAGCUGAGAGUGCACACAGUGUGGGCCUCCCAGGAGAGGAUUUGGCUUUACACUAGGGUUGGUUCAGCUGAGCUGGCUGGUUGGCUAAUAUCCUUUUCCUCCCUCACUGCUCCUUACGUGUUCCUCCUGAAGUUGAGCUAUGCUCAGUCAAAGAAGACGAUCAUUCUUUACUCAAGGAUAUAGGCAUAGCUGCAUUCCUCUGCUAAAGCCUCCAAACAAGCUCUCAGGGCCCACAAAUCCUCCAUGAAUGCUGGAAGUCAAUGGAAAUCUUGUUCCAAUAGAUCAGUUAACUAUAAGGCCAUGCCAUGAAAUUCACU
rnacentral:snRNA from 1 species